AUUGAACGCUGGCGGGAUGCCUUACACAUGCAAGUCGAACGGAGUGGCGAACGGGUGAGUAAUGUAUCGGAACGUGCCCAGUCGCGGGGGAUAGCUACGCCAAAGCGUAGCUAAUACUGCAUACUCUUGCCACGGCCGAUAUCGGAUUGGCUAGUUGGUGGGGUAACGGCUCACCAAGGCGACGAUCCGUAGCUGGUUUGAGAGGACGACCAGCCACACUGGGACUGAGACACGGCCCAGACUCCUACGGGAGGCAGCAGUGGGGAAUUUUGGACAAUGGGGGAAAGCCUGAUCCAGCCAUCCCGCGUGUGUGAUGAAGGCCUUCGGGUUGUAAAGCACUUUUGGCAGGAAAGCGGUACCUGCAGAAGAAGCACCGGCUAACUACGUGCCAGCAGCCGCGGUAAUUC
rnacentral:rRNA from 1 species